UGAGGCAGCAACAAGGAGAAAAAACAAUCCAGAUACAAAAACUAUCCUACACAAAGGUACAGCUUCCAAGAGAUAAAAUGUCACACAGAGAUAAAGUAGGCUAGUUUAAUGGAAAUAUACUGGGCUUCAGGGGUAAUAGAGUAUAAUGGCUUGGAAAGAAAGACUGGAGACAGACUAUGAUGGACUUUAAAUGACAAAGAUGGAAGUUUCAAUUUUAUCUGAGAGGCAAUAGGGAGCCAUUGAUACUUCUUGAGCUCUUGGGAGAGCCAGGGCUAUGCUUUAGGAAUAUUCAUUUGGUAGCUGUGUGGUAAAUAGAUUGAGGCUACACACAGGAGUAUGCAGGAAGACCAGUUAGGAGGCAAUCGUUAUUGUCCAUGUGACAAGUGAUGAUAGCCUCACCUAGGGUGGUUGUGGGGUUUGGGUAGAAGAAAGAAGUAAUAUGUCAGAGAUCUUGUGGAAGUAGAAUCAACAAGACUGUUUCCUGUAGAUAAGCUAUUGUAGGGAGGUUUUACACUUCUUUGGGAAUGGGAGUAUGACAUAAUUUAAAAAACGAUGGGAUUUGGAUCCAAAAGACUUUGGAACCUGGCUCAUGUCACUUGGUAUUUACUUCUCUAGAAGUUUCCUCAUCUAUAAAGGAUGGUGUUGUUAUUUUGGUCAUUUUUUGCAGUGGGACAUAUUAAUAAGUGGGUUUAUUAAUAAUAAUAGCAUUUAUACAAUUAGCAAAGAUUUGCAAAUUCCUUUUAUUUUGCUUAAUCUUCACAAAAAUCCUGUAAGGUAGAUAUUAUUAUGCCCAUUUUACAGAAGAAGAAAUAAGCUCAGAGAGAUAAGUGAUUUACCCAGGCACAUAGUUAUCAAGCAAACUUUAGAGUCUCUAAUAUUUUACACUCAAUAAAUUACUUCACAAUGCCUUUUCUGUGUGUUCCUCCUCCCCUUCCCCGCUUUCUAUCUCUAUAUUUCCUGUCUUUUUGUCUAUCUCUUCCUCUCUCCCCUUCCCCCUAGUUAUACAUCUCUCUAUUCAUUUCUCCCUACCUCCAUUUCUCCCUUUCCAUCAGUCUAUCUCCAUGUCUUGUCUGUCUGUCUGUCUAUGUUUCUGUGUCUGCCUUUCUCCCUCUCUAUUUCUAAUGGUGUUUACAACUUCCCUCCAAGGCAAAAAUAAAUAAAUAAAGCCUUCUGAUUAUGAUGUCACCCAUCCCUGACUUGUGUAAUGUCUCCUGUUACUACAGCAACUGGUUGUAUGUCACCCCUUCAUUAUAGAAGCUAAAAAAGCCUGUCAAGAAAACAGUUGCUUGGGAGUUACAGUAGUGAAACAGACAUAGGAAAUCUUAAAUCCUAACAGGAACAAAGUGGCCAAAGAAACCCUCCUCCCAGGAAACCAGAGGCAAAAAGAGCAAUGAACUUGGAACCAAAAUACAUAGGUUCAAAUCCAAUCUCCUUCAAAAAUUAGCGAUGGUGGUGCUGAACAAGUUGUCAAGCCAUUCUGGAACUCAGCUGCUUCAGCAGAAUACACAUAGCAAGUCAGACUGUUGCCAAUAUCUUCCCCCAGACUCCUAUGAAGAUGGUCUAGGAACUCUGAGCCUAAGAACCUUAAAAAUAGCAAUACUCCCAUACCACUAGAUUUUCUUCUAGCAUGAUCCUUGCAGCCACCUUUAAUGAGAGAAAUCCAUGGAGAAAAAGGUCACAACAUCCCUGCUAACAUCUAUACCAACUGCUCUUCAACUGCCAUUGAUCUAUGGUAAAUUAAAUCCAAGAAUUUGGGGAAUAGCAACACCUCCAAGAAAACUGAUUGAUCCUGCCUCCAUAUGAAUCCCAGCAGCCAUCAUCCUAUGAAGAUGCAUCCUGGUGCUACAACCAUAGCUAAUGAAGCUCUAGAAAUAGUUCUUGUCCCCAAAGUGAUUUGAAAACAUGCUUCUGGAAAGGGAUCCAUCAUAUUCUCCAGACUGCCUAAGGGUUUAUGACACACACACAAAAUAAAGCAAAUUUGCCCUAAAAACCCAAUGCUUUGCUGAUGCCCAUGAAUG